UGUCAGGUUAGAGGGGAGGAGUUGGGCACGGCAAAGACGAUGAUUUCCAUCAAUAACAAUGCUUCGGUGUCACUUUUCAACAGAACCAUCAACAGAACUAUGUUCCAAACUUUUGACACCGCUGCACAAAUGAAGGACAAGGCGAAAGUCAUCAUGAAUAAGCCGGAGAGGAGAGCCAACUUCAGUUGGUUCCUCUUCAAUGUGGAGCUGACGGACGUGACAGGCCAUUGCUUGACGGAGGGACCCUUCGAUCGACUCAAGCAAUUCAAGGAGUUUUAUCUGAACGAAGCAAGAAACGGGCCGCCGACAUAGCGUGAUGCACUAUUCCGCCAUCAACAGUGCUAGGAAGCCUAC